rnacentral:tRNA from 2 species
GGCGGAUUUCCCAAGCGGUCAAAGGGAGCUGACUGUAAAUCAGCCGCUACUUAGCUUCAGUGGUUCGAAUCCACUAUCCGCCA